AUGGAAUGAUGUUGAGCGGGUGUUCCUUUGACAUUUCAAGAAAUGUAACCUUGAGUAUACAUCUUCAUAUGUAUAUCUCACACGUUUUCCGCUGCAAAACACUUUGAUUAGGAUAGCUCUAUGGUAUGAAGUUGUGAUACGUGUUAUUGGGUAACCACCUUAAUCAGUUCUCAUUUAUGUGUAUGUUUUAUAAGUAUCCAAAUAAUCAUAUAUGAUCCUAGC
rnacentral:lncRNA from 1 species